AGCAACUCCCUUCGCUCCGUACCCUGCCGACUGCCUUCCAUGCCGCAACCCCUCCGUAAUCUUAUCGUGGUGGCGGCGACCACGAGGAACAACACCGCUGCCGCGGCUGCGCCUAGCGCAUUCGUGCCUCUGUCCGCCGCUUCCCAGGGGUGGGUAGAGUAGCCAUGGAGGUGGACGUGCAAGCUGCCACCCAAGAUCUUUCCCUUAUCAUUCUCAAUCUGGCAGCCCUGGGUUCUUCCUUGAUGACAGACUUGCAGUCUAGACAUGUUGGAGUCUCCAUUGACCAGAUGCAUGAAAUUUUGAAGCAUUCCUCUCAUCAAAAGG